UGGGGAAUCUUGGACAAUGGGGGCAACCCUGAUCCAGCAAUGCCGCGUGUGUGAAGAAGGCCUUCGGGUUGUAAAGCACUUUCGGUGGGGAAGAAAAGUGCGGGGCGAAUAUCCCCGUAACUUGAUGGUACCCAAAGAAGAAGCACCGGCUAACUCUGUGCCAGCAGCCGCGGUAAUACAGAGGGUGCAAGCGUUAAUCGGAAUUACUGGGCGUAAAGCGUGCGUAGGUGGUUUGUUAAGUCAGGUGUGAAAUCCUCGGGCUCAACCCGGGAACUGCGCUUGAUACUGGCAGACUCGAGUGUGGUAGAGGAUAGUGGAAUUCCCGGUGUAGCGGUGAAAUGCGUAGAUAUCGGGAGGAACAUCAGUGGCGAAGGCGGCUAUCUGGACCAACACUGACACUGAGGUACGAAAGCGUGGGUAGCAAACAGGAUUAGAUACCCUGGUAGUCCACGCCCUAAACGAUGGGUACUAGACGUCGGGAAGCUUGUCUUCUUGGUGUCGCAGCUAACGCAAUAAGUACCCCGCCUGGGGAGUACGGUCGCAAGAUUA
rnacentral:rRNA from 1 species